UCGGGAAUCUUGGACAAUGGGCGAAAGCCUGACCCAGCAACGCCGCGUGAAGGAUGAAGUAUUUCGGGUUGUAAAGCUCUGUGGGGAGAGAAGAAUAAGUGCGGGCUAAUACUCCGCAUGAUGACGGUAUCUCCUUAGCAAGCACCGGCUAACUCUGUGCCAGCAGCCGCGGUAAGACAGAGGGUGCAAACGUUGUUCGGAAUUACUGGGCGUAAAGCGAGUGUAGGCGGUUUGGUAAGUCGGAUGUGAAAGCCCCGGGCUCAACCCGGGAAGUGCACUCGAUACUGCCAAGCUAGAGUAUCGGAGAGGUUGGUGGAAUUCUCGGUGUAGAGGUGAAAUUCGUAGAUAUCGAGAGGAACACCGGUGGCGAAGGCGGCCAACUGGACGAAUACUGACGCUGAGACUCGAAAGCGUGGGGAGCAAACAGGAUUAGAUACCCGUGUAGUCCCUGAGCGGGCUGGCAAGGCGCAU
rnacentral:rRNA from 1 species